GGGACGAACGCUGGCGGCGUGCUUAACACAUGCAAGUCGAGCGGAAAGGCCCUUCGGGGUACUCGAGCGGCGAACGGGUGAGUAACACGUGAGUAAUCUGCCCCUAGCUCUGGGAUAGCUCCGGGAAACCGGGAUUAAUACCAGAUACGACCACUUUAGACAUCUGCUGUGGUGGAAAGAAUUUCGGCUAGGGAUGAGCUCGCGGCCUAUCAGCUUGUUGGUGAGGUAACGGCUCACCAAGGCGACGACGGGUA
rnacentral:rRNA from 1 species